GACAAACGCUGGCGGCAUGCCUAACACAUGCAAGUCGAACGGACAGAACAGGGAAGCUUUUCGGAGUGGAACUGGAAAGUUAGUGGCGGAUGGGUGAGUAACGCGUGGACAACCUACCUUGUAAAGGGGAAUAACCUCGAGAAAUCGAAGCUAAUACCCCAUAAUAACCUUGCUUCGCAUGAAGUAAGGAGGAAAGGCGGCCUUAGCGCUGUCGAUACAGGAUGGGUCCGCGUCUGAUUAGCUAGUUGGUGAGGUAAAGGCUCACCAAGGCGACGAUCAGUAGCCGGCCUGAGAGGGUGAACGGCCACAUUGGGACUGAGACACGGCCCAAACUCCUACGGGAGGCAGCAGUGGGGAAUCUUCCGCAAUGGGCGAAAGCCUGACGGAGCAAUGCCGCGUGAGUGAAGAAGGCCUUCGGGUUGUAAAACUCUGUCCUUAUCGAAGAGAGAGUGUUGUAGUAACUGACAAUACUAGGACGGUAGAUGAGGAGGAAGCCCCGGCUAACUAUGUG
rnacentral:rRNA from 1 species